AAAGUGUCCACACAUUGUAAUCAGCUGUAGCGCCAUUUUGUAGUUUGGUUAUCCAUUAUUUGUCAGCAAGAAAUAUUAAUAUAUAGAAAACAAGUCUAGUUUUAAAGAUUUCCAUUAAAAUCCAAAGAAUUAUUGGAAAAAUGGUUACAGGCUAUAAAUAGAAAAAAUUUUAUGCCUAAUAAAUGUAGUAUAAUGGGGGUUUAGUGAUUCCUUCAUCUAGUAUGUCUAUAUUAUGCCGAAUUUGUGAAAGUUCAUUUAGAACUUAUCAAAAUGAUAUUAAACGUAAAAAUAUUAUUAAAAAAAUGGAAGUGUUGGUUUUUUCCACAAUAAUUGGUACAAAUAUUUUUAUUGAUCUUACUGAACAACAUGAGAUUGGUUACAGCCAUUUUCAAAUUCUUGUAAAAUUAAUUGUUCAAAGAUAUUUAAAUAUUAGAUUUUUCCAUUUUGCUGACUUGAGAAACCAGGAAUUGAGAACUGGUAUGAGGCAAAAUCUUACAAAAGCAAUACAAUUUAAUAAUCAAUAAGUCAUGUGAUGAUAGAAUCAAAAAGGAUGAAUGUUUAUAAUCAAAGAUAAUAUGAAUGUGAAUCAUCAUAUUGUUAAAAAUACAUUUUGUUUUUUUAAAGUGUACACAUUUAUAUUUUUAUAUAUUUAUUGUAUAAACCUUAUUUAAAUGAUUUAUAUAAUAAUUUAUACCCAUGCAAAAAAUGUUAUUAUUACAC